rnacentral:ncRNA from 1 species
CGUCCCUGACCUUUGUACACACCGCCCGUCGCUACUACCGAUUGAAUGGCUCAGUGAGGCGUUCGGACUGGCUCGGGGAGGUUGGCAACGACCACCCGGUCGGCAACGACCACCCAGGGCCGGAAAGUUGGUCAAACCCGGUCAUUUAGAGGAAGUAAAAGUCGUAACAAGGUCUCCGUAGGUGAACCUGCGGAGGGAUCAUUA